rnacentral:rRNA from 1 species
AUUGAACGCUGGCGGCAGGCCUAACACAUGCAAGUCGAGCGAGUGGCGGACGGGUGAGGAAUGUCUGGGAAUCUGCCUGAUGGAGGGGGAUAACGACUGGAAACGGGAUCUAAUACCGCAUACCACAAUAUGCGCCCAGAUGGGUUUAGCUAGUAGGUGGGGUAAAGGCUCACCUAGGCGACGAUCCCUAGCUGGUCUGAGAGGAUGACCAGCCACACUGGAACUGAGACACGGGCCAGACUCCUACGGGAGGCAGCAGUGGGGAAUAUUGCACAAGGGGCGCAAGCCUGAUGCAGCCAUGCCGCGUGUGUGAAGAAGGCCUUCGGGUUGUAAAGCACUUUCAGCGAGGAGGCGUUACUCGCAGAAGAAGCACCGGCUAACUCCGUGCCAGCAGCCGCGGUAAUAC